UACGGGGGGGGCAAGCGUUGUUCGGAAUUACUGGGCGUAAAGGGCUCGUAGGCGGCCAACUAAGUCGGACGUGAAAUCCCUCGGCUUAACCGGGGAACUGCGUCCGAUACUGGAUGGCUUGAGUUCGGGAGAGGGAUGCGGAAUUCCAGGUGUAGCGGUGAAAUGCGCAGAUAUCAGGAGGAACACCGGUGGUGUAGACAGCUUUCUGGACCAUUGCUGACGCUGAGACACGAAAGCGUGGGUAGCAAACAGG
rnacentral:rRNA from 1 species